GGCUCUGUAGUUCAGCAGUUAGAGCACUGGUCCUGUAAAUCAGGGGUCAUGAGUUCAAAUCUCAUCAGGGCCU